UACGUAGGGUCCGAGCGUUGUCCGGAAUUACUGGGCGUAAAGGGCUCGUAGGCGGUCUGUCGCGUCGGUAGUGAAAACUCAGGGCUCAACCCUGAGCGUGCUUUCGAUACGGGCAGACUAGAGGUAUGCAGGGGAGAAUGGAAUUCCUGGUGUAGCGGUGGAAUGCGCAGAUAUCAGGAGGAACACCGGUGGCGAAGGCGGUUCUCUGGGCAUUACCUGACGCUGAGGAGCGAAAGCAUGGGGAGCGAACAGGAUUAGAUACCCU
rnacentral:rRNA from 1 species